rnacentral:tRNA from 1 species
CGUGGCGUGGCGCGGCGCGCAGCGCACCGCGCUCAGGGCGCGGUCAUCGGCGUGCAGCACGGCGCACCGCGCCCA